rnacentral:lncRNA from 1 species
CUCGGCAGCUGAGGGAGACGGAUCAGAGGCUCUGGGAAAGCUUGAGAUGGACCCUGUGUGACCCUGGUGCCGCUUCUGCCCCUCACUGUGUGGCUCCGGGGGCCCGACUCCCCCUGGGGGGCUGGGGGGAGUUCACUCAUUCACUUUCCCUUUGCAGCUGCCACAGUGCCUUCGCAGGUGCUUGGAGGGGCAGGAAGCCAACAAGGUCCCUGGGUGCCACAGGGGAUAACAGGGUGGGGGGUCCUGGGGGGCAACAAGUGGGGAAUCAGGGGUGCUCCAGGGAGGGCAGCGGCCACGUGGGUGCGCAGGGAAGGGCGGUCAGGCAGUGGGAACAGAGUGCGCAGAGGACAGAGGCUCUCAAGAGACAGAAUCCGGGUCUGCGAAACGGGCCUGCGUCGCCUCCACGAGCACCAGGAAGCUGCGGGUACCUCGUGUGGCUGAGAAAAGCCAGGGCAGCAGCAGCCAGCACCCAGCAGCCCUGCUCCCACCACCGCACCCCGCCUGCGCUCCUGUGCCUGGAGCUCCCUGUCCCCCAGGCAGCUGAGGGGCCGGCCGGCCCAGGGAGAGGGGUUCCUUCCCUCCAAACCCUCCCAACAAGGCGGCUUUGUCUGGUGGUUCCGAAGACCCCAGCGCCCCUCCCAGGCCUCUGCCACCGCCUGAAAGGGGGCUUUAUCUGUGUCCCAGGCCACAGUGCUGGGAAGCCGGUGGCCCCGGUUGGCCCAGGGGCCAGGCAGCAGCCACCGCCCCGACUCCAGAGCCAUAGACAAAGGGGGGUCCUGGGGCAGCCGCCAGUCAAAGCCGAGCCCCGAGGAGGACAAGAGGACUGCGCGAGGCCCCCAUCCCCAUGCCUCCCCGCCAUGGUCCGUGACAAGGAGGCCUUGAGUGCAGCCCCAGAGCGAACGUGCGUGGGAGGAGGCAGGUGCACUCAGACCGCCUGUAACCCUGUCUCCUGGGCCUGCUCCCCGUCCCUUUCUCUGCUCCUGGGAGCACUGGGCGGGUGGGGGCAGCUGAGCCCCGUUUUGCUGGGUAUGGUGCUGAAGGUGGUGGGGGCCCCUGCUCCUGGGCACAUGGGGGUGUUGGCCCCCAGCUGGGCCUUGACCAGCCCUGUUUAGCUCUGAUUGCCCGGGACAAUGACAGCAGCCCACUUCACAACAGCGGAGAAGUCCAGAGAGAUUGGGCCACCUGCCCAAAGCCACCCAGCUCCCGCGAGGCAGAGCCAGGGCUCCAAC